UUUCCGUAGGUGAACCUGCGGAAGGAUCAUUACCUAGAGUUUGUAGACUUAGGUCUGCUACCUCUUACCCAUGUCUUUUGAGUACCUUCGUUUCCUCGGCGGGUCCGCCCGCCGAUUGGACAACAUUCAAACCCUUUGCAGUUGCAAUCAGCGUCUGAAAAAACUUAAUAGUUACAACUUUCAACAACGGAUCUCUUGGUUCUGGCAUCGAUGAAAACGCAGC
rnacentral:misc_RNA from 1 species